ACAUUGCAUGCUGACACUGAAUGAGCAGUGACUGGACGCUGCCUUCCAUGUGGGACACGAGCCUUCAAUGCCUGAUAAAGCCUGAAAGCCACAAUCUGCCCUGGAAACCCAGCUCCACCCUGCUUCCACUACAUCAGGAGGUGAAGGAGGAAAUUGAAAGUGUGAAACACCAGUGGGAGGAAAAGGUUCCUGUAACAAAUGUGGUUAUCAAUGGGAAAGAAGCUUUCUAGAGCUUAUAUACGGGGCCGAGUCAUGCACACUUCAUCAUACUCACCAGGGGACGACCCAGACCAUCAUUCUUCUCUGGUCUGCCACCUUCAUCCUCCACUUGCAGCCUCCUUUGCAGUGACCAUACAGGUGCAGAGCAUGAGCAGGAUGCACAGGGGUUUAUGUGGUCAGGCCUGCCUGGAGUUGGCACAUAGCAUUUCUGCUUCCAUUCUUAGGUCUGAAAUCCAGGUCACAGAGCCCUAACAUAACUACAAAGGAUCCUGAAAAGUGUUGUAUUCCAGUGUGCCUCGGA
rnacentral:lncRNA from 1 species